UCUACGGGAGGCAGCAGUGAGGAAUAUUGGUCAAUGGGCGGAAGCCUGAACCAGCCAAGUCGCGUGAGGGAAUAAGGCCCUACGGGUCGUAAACCUCUUUUGCCGGGGAGCAAGGGCGGGGACGUGUCCCGGCCCGGAGAGUACCCGGAGAAAAAGCAUCGGCUAACUCCGUGCCAGCAGCCGCGGUAAUACGGAGGAUGCGAGCGUUAUCCGGAUUUAUUGGGUGUAAAGGGCGUGUAGGCGGGAAAGCAAGUCAGAUGUGAAAACUCAGGGCUCAACCCUGAGCCUGCAUUUGAAACUGUUUUUCUUGAGUGCUGGAGAGGCAAUCGGAAUUCCGUGUGUAGCGGUGAAAUGCGUAGAUAUACGGAGGAACACCAGUGGCGAAGGCGGAUUGCUGGACAGUAACUGACGCUGAGGCGCGAAAGCGUGGGGAGCAAACAGGAUUAGAUACCCCUGUAGUC
rnacentral:rRNA from 1 species